AAUUAGAGUCUGAUCACUCUCCCCUAAAUUAAAUCGUUUCAUACUAAACAGUAAACACCCAACAUUCCACCGUUUGAAAGAACACCGUUGUUUGCCCAAUUUCAAAAAUAAAACGUUGAUUUUUGUUACCUUUGUUAUAUUCGCAAUUUAGCACUUGUGUGUGCACUGUCUGUGUAGAGUGCAGACAGCAGGAGGCGCAAACAUGAAUCCCUAUGACGAACGAAGACUGAUAGAUGAAGUCAUCUACCUCCAUUCUCUGUGGCACCAAGGUCCUCCCCAAGCUCCACCACCGCCAAACCCUAUUCUAACUCCAACACAACUCUACAACAACACCAUUCCCUUUGCGUCAGACCAUCACAUCUCUAAACCCCUUAAUCCCUAUUUCAAUGCGUCCCCCUGGCACCUUAACCCUCAUCGUCAACAUCCCCCACCCAUCCCUCUUGCACCUGCGCACACCGGAUCACUCCCACCCACCUCAAACAACAAAAAAAAGAAGAACAAGAACAAGAAGAAUAAGGCGAGGGACCGACCACGGAGUCCGGGUUUGGAGUGGCCAUGCCCGGCUCCGUCUGACCCGCCCUCCACGGGCUGGCCCGCACCUAAGAAGCCCCGGUUAGAGGCCCCUGCGGUGUCUCCCGAGGAGAAGGAGAGGCUUGGGGCUUUGCGAGCUCAGAACAAGGCGUCCCAAGCUUUAAGGGGCUUCAUCUUGAAUGGUGAUGACGAUGAUUGUGAUGAUGACGACGACGACUACGACGAUGCUGAGUUGGAAGAAUAUGAGGGGUUCUUUUUGAGGAUCUUCAAGGAGGAUGAUGAAUUGAGGAGCUAUUACCAAAGGCGUUUCGAGAACGGCGAGUUUUGCUGCUUGGUUUGCGACGCGGUUGGGAAGAAGAAUUCUGGGAAGAAGUAUAAGGACUGUGUUGGCCUUCUUCAGCAUGCCAAGUCUGUCUUGAGGACGGUCAAGAAACUGGCUCAUAGGGCUUUUGGGCAGGCGGUUUGCAAGGUAUUGGGUUGGGACAUUGAUCAGCUUCCGGUGAUUGCAAUGAAGGGAGAGCCUCUUGGGUCCAAUUUGAAGAUCAUGCCAUCCAACUCAGAGGAUGAGGUUAAGGAGAAUGCUGAUGAUGGAGAAGGUGGUACCUGCAAGCAAAAUGGUAAGGUUGUGUCUAUGGAGAAUAAUGAUCAACCGGAUGAAGAGUGUGUGAACGGAGUUGAACAGAGUAUUGUUGGGUGUUCUGUGAUUGAAAAAGAUCUUGAUAAUAAGGACGAGAAUCUUGACGAAAAGAUUUUGGAUAUUAGAUUUGAAAGUGGAGAGGGUGGAGCAAUGACUAAGGCAUCUCUUGAGUAUUGUGAUUUUAAUGCUGGAUGGGUUUUUAAAAAUUCCAAUAGCGAUUCAUCCUCAACUGCAUCAGUUUGGCCUCUCUUCCAAACCAACUCAUCUUAUUGCACUAGCUCUCUUUCAGCAGAAGAGCAAGCCAAUGUGGCAGUGCAGCAAUUGCAGCACAAGGCAUUAAAAGCUUAUAAAAAAUACCUAGUUGCUAAUGCUGAUUCUGACUCUGAUGAUGAGGACAGCAAUGAAGAGGAUGAAGAUGAUGUGUCGGAUCAUUCUCCCGAAAAACAUGAGGACUUCAAGUUCUUUCUGAGUUUGUUUACAGAAGACAGUGACUUGAGGAUAUAUUAUGAAAACAACAAUAGCAAAGGAGACUUUUAUUGCUUGGUUUGUGGAGCCAUAGGAAAGAAGGUGUGGAAGAAGUUUAAGGAUUGCAUCGCUUUACUUCAGCAUUCUACUGCGGUAAAAAGGACAAAGAGGAAGCAAGCUCACAGAGCUUAUUCACAGGUCAUCUGUAAAGUUCUUGGUUGGGACAUCGAUCGAUUGCCAACUAUCGUGUUAAAGGACCAACCCCUCAGUUCUUCCUUGGAAGGUUCAAGUUCAACAAAGCUUUAGGAGGGUCAACUCCUCUAGCAGCUAUAUCUGUUGCUACAAGCAGAUAUCCACCUCCUUUUCCAACCUCCUGAAUCAAACACUUGUCACCAUCCUUUGUUGAAAAUACUUAUUCUUAUGCUACUGAAUGGAAGGAACUUACCAACAAUGAAACUGCGCGCGAGUGGAAAUUCAUGUCAUCCUCGAGAAGGACAAUAUCUAAAGGCCGUUCAUAUGAUGUUUUCAAAAAGUCAAUGACAAGAUAUAUGUAGACCUGACGACAGAAAGAGGUACUGCUGAUCAGGCUACUGGUUGUGGUUGUAGCCGUGGUCAGGGUAGAGAGAGGGUUUCUUUCGGUACUCCCGAGACUUCCGGAUCCUCUCUAUCUACUCCAACCACCCCAGUCAUGCCACACGUUACAUGUUUAGUAGACCAUCCGUUCAUCAUGGUACCCAACUCCAACUACGUGCCUCUGUCCACGGCGACGACACCGCCUCCAAUCGCUUAGCAGCCCACAUCCAUGGCGACGCCGACUCUAGCGACGGAUGCCACGGCUCGGAAUCCAGCCAUGGAAGUGAGGCAAUAGAUGAUGCCCCUCUACCACCUCCCACCAUACGGUUGCGCAUUUGGCCUAAUGGCGGCACGAUGUUUUUGACGAACCCAAACACAUGUAAUCAGGAAAUGACGAAUGUCAUCAAGCUAAUACACGACCAGCCUUGGCCCAGCUACACAAAGAUCUCCGCUGAGACCGGGAAGGGUUGGUUUGAGAAAUAGACGGUAAUUACUUUCAUUGUUUCUAUUUCAAACCUUUUUAGUUGGUUUAUAUCCUCUAUCUGCUUAACUAAAUUUAAAGCUUCUUUGUUGCAACUGCACUUCAUUUGGGAUAUUGAGCACGACUUGGCCAUCCGAAAGAUAUUCGACCAUAGAAUGGGUCGCAGCUCCAGCAGAUGCUGGAUGAUGUUCGUCAUGGGCGGGACCAGCGAACAGGAUGGCUCUGACUAGAGAUAAAGAAGGGAAUGUUAGCUCAUUGGGAGACCAAUGCGGGGUUCAUGGAUCAGCGUGAGCUAAUAAGGUAUCAGCCAAGUCGUCCAAGUACACUGGCAGCUCGGUGACCUUCAUGAAGACCAAGGUCAGGCUGUCGAAGUCGUUGGACUGCGAAGCCACAUUGGCGGAGACAUUCAAAUACAUCCACACGCAGAAAGAGAACAAAGCGAGAUUUGUUUAUCAACGGUCUCAGGACCAUUAUUCACAGUAACUUGUAUUAAUUGCACAAAAGUCCUACACACAGAGACUAGAGGCCACAACUCAACAGUCUCAGCACAGCUGAUGGCUCUGCAGCUUUAGUCGUCGACCUCGAUGCGGUUUGGCGCAAGACCGCCUUAGUCCCGUACAAGAACCGUGUAUAUGAGAUGGAGUCAUUCUUCGCCAGCAGCCUCCCACCUCGACAUUGAGGCCGUCAUCAGGCUCCGCCACCAGUCGAGCCAUCCAACCCGAGGAAGGCGUGGAUUUAAGGCUGCAAGUGCAGGAGCUUCAGCGCAGCCUUCAUUAGCAGGCUUAGGAGUUUAACAAUUGUCGGGAGAGGUAUCAGGAGAUCCUCACUCGCAUGACGUCUAUGGAUGAGCUCAGACUGGGGUUUAGGCCUUAGGGAGUCGCUGGAGCGGAUGCAGCGUAUGGAGGCUCAGAUAGAGGUGUACCAGGACCAGAUGUGCACCGCUAGCAUCGACCUUGGUGGUGGCAGCGGUCCUGCUGGUGGCACACGGACAUCGUUGCUGCCUUCUGCGCUGCCGACUCAGGGCCACGGGACUGACAACGACUACCUGGAUCUGUAGAUAUUAAUUUUUUGUUUUAUUGUAUUUAUUUGAUGUACUUGACUUUUAAUUUAUUUGAACAUU